ensembl:lncRNA
AUAUCCUGCUGCAAAAAUAACGCUAAUGAAGCCUCUUUUGGCCAUCACUACAGCUGUGGCUCACGAUCAAGUAAACAAUAAGUGUAAAUUAUGUGAAAUAACAUGUUUAAUUAGAAAGGUUCACAGCAAAAUAUUUACAUUGUCUAAAUCUGAGCAAAAAGUUUAUCAAAAUGUGCAUCGCUCUUUUAAACCGCGUAAUUCUUACAAAUUAUACUGCUGAUGAUUUUUAAAACAAAAGGUGACUUGAGGGUGUUUUUCAGGCUUUAUGACACGUCUGAUUUGGUGUGGCAGCAGAUGGCACCUGGAUACUUGACCUUUAACCAAAAAAGUUUGCGUGAUCAAAUCCCUGAGCCAGCAAAAUCAACCCCUCCUUGAGCAGGACUAUUAGCCCUUAUCGCUCCUGUAAGUCCGUGUAGAUAAAUGCUGUCUUAAUGUGUGAAAUGUAGACUGUCCACUUCUCUUUUUCCAGAAGGGGGCGCUUGAUCGCUCUCACACCCAGUACUGGACUGUAAAGGAAUUUUCAUUGGGAGCGCACCUUGAACACUGUGGGUCAAUUGGUCGGGUCGACUACUAAGGUGGUGGGUUUGACACCCACGGGGGCCAGUGCUAAUGUUGUGGGUUUGACACCCACGGGGGCCAGUGCUAGGGUUGUGGGUUUGACACCCACGGUGGCCAGUGCUAGGGUUGUGGGUUUGACACCCACAGGGGCCAAUGCUAGGGUUGUGGGUUUGACACCCAUGGGGGCCAGUGCUAGGGUUGUGGGUUUGACACCCACGGGGGCCAGUGCUAAUGUUGUGGGUUUGACACCCACGGGGGCCAGUGCUAAUGUUGUGGGUUUGACACCCACGGUGGCCAGUGCUAAUGUUGUGGGUUUGACACCCACGGGGGCCAGUGCUAGGGUUGUGGGUUUGACACCUACGGGGGCCAGUGCUAGGGUUGUGGGUUUGACACCCACGGGGGCCAGUGCUAGGGUUGUGGGUUCGACUUCCACGAGGGCCAGUGCCAAGAUUGUGGGUUCAAGUAAACUUAAGCAGUGUCUUGAUAAUGUGAACAUGAGCAGUUAGUGUGAACAUAAGACACUGCUUAAGUUUAUUGCUAAUAACAUGAUAGGCUUUUUGGAAAUGUCUUCUGUUUUAACCAAGUCCCUCCAAUACACUAACACACACCCAAUAAUCGAGCAUGUAAAACAGGGCAGCUGUAGUUUGUGGAAUGAGGUGCCUUGCUCAAGGGAACAUGAGUGGUAGGAUCCACCGAGGAUUUGGAUUCACCAGAUAUUAUGCUUUGCCUUUACUCCACCAGAACUGGGGUUCGAACCGUCUUCUUUAACCUUGAGGUAACCCGGAUGGGGAAGUCAUGGGUUAUUCUUCAGGGUGAUGUAACUCAGAGCAUUGGCUAAUGCUGGAACUUCCCCGCCUAUACAAUGUCUUACAACCAGGAAACCGGGCUGUCACUGCCAAUCAUACGGUGGAACCCACAGGUAGAUGCCAACCCAACAGUCACGGCCAAUCAGACAGCUGAAUAUACAGGUAGGCAGAAACCCGACAGUCACGGCCAAUCAGGCAGAUUAAUCCACAGGUAGGCAGAAACCCGACAGUCACGGCCAAUCAGACAGGUGAACCCACAGGUAGGCUUUUAAUGGCCGCCGAUGUUGAGAUAUGAUGUAGGUUUACCAGUCUUCUUAUCACAGAUAAACAACAUGGACUCAGAAGGUUAAUCACUUACGCCUCAACUAAUGUUGAUAUGUUAUCAAUCUUAUGACAUUCCUUAUAUAACAGGUAUGCAGUAGGUCAAAGGGCGGCUGUAAAUACCUGUUUCGGUUGUAUGAAACUGUUUUUCUCCAUGUCAGGAUAUGACGUCAAGCCUAGACCCCUCAAAUUCCUCCAGACCUGGAAGUUUCACUCCGUGUUUUCAUUCCAACCAUCUAAUCAGGGACGUAUUUAAACCUGGGACACCAGGUGGAUGACAUCCCUGAAGUGACAGUGUUCUGGUAGUACAUCCCUGAUGUGACAGUGUUCUGGUAGUACAUCCCUGAUGUGACAGUGUUCUGGUAGUACAUCCCUGAUGUGAC